rnacentral:rRNA from 1 species
CUACGGGCGGCACCAGUCGAGAAUCUUCCGCAAUGGACGAAAGUCUGACGGAGCGACGCCGCGUGCGGGAUGAAGGCCUUCGGGUUGUAAACCGCUGUCAGUGGGGAGGAAAUGCAUCAGGGUUCUCCCUGGUGUUUGACCGAUCCGCAGAGGAAGCGCAGGCUAAGUUCGUGCCAGCAGCCGCGGUAACACGAACUGCUCGAACGUUAUUCGGAAUCACUGGGCUUAAAGAGUGUCGUAGGCGGCCUUUCAAGUCGGGUGUGAAAUCCCUCGGCUCAACCGAGGAAUUGCGCCUGAUACUGUUGGGCUUGAGGGGGAUAGGGGUGAGCGGAACUGAUGGUGGAGCGGUGAAAUGCGUUGAUACCAUCAGGAGCACCGGUGGCGAAGGCGGCUCACUGGAUCUCUUCUGACGCUGAGGAACGAAAGCUAGGGGAGCGAACGGGAUUAGAUACCCCCGUAGUC